CUGCAACUCGCCUGCAUGAAGUUGGAAUUGCUAGUAAUCGCGAAUCAGAAUGUCGCGGUGAAUACGUUCCCGGGCCUUGUACACACCGCCCGUCACACCAUGAGAGUCGAUAACACCCGAAGCCUGUGAGCUAACCGUAAGGAGGCAGCAGUCGAAGGUGGGGUUGAUGAUUGGGGUGAAGUCGUAACAAGGUAGC
rnacentral:rRNA from 1 species